UACACACCGCCCGUCACACCAUGGGAGCGGGUUCUGCCAGAAGUAGUUAGCCUAACCGCAAGGAGGGCGAUUACCACGGUGUGGUCAAUGACUGGGGUG
rnacentral:rRNA from 1 species